UACGUAGGUGGCAAGCGUUGUUCGGAAUUAUUGGGCGUAAAGGGCUCGUAGGUGGCCAACUAAGUCAGACGUGAAAUCCCUCAGCUUAACUGGGGAACUGCGUCUGAUACUGGAUGGCUUGAGUUUGGGAGAGGGACGCGGAAUUCCAGGUGUAGCGGUGAAAUGCGUAGAUAUCUGGAGGAACACCGGUGGCGAAGGCGGCGUUCUGGACUGCAACUGACACUGAGGAACGAAAGCCAGGGGAGCAAACGGG
rnacentral:rRNA from 1 species